UGGCACUUUACUUUGAACCUGAAUGGUCAUGUUGUUGUCCAUUCACAGGUCAAGGGCAGUGCAAGAUCAUGUUGUCUUGUCAUAACUGGAGGUUCUUGGCAAUUGUACCAUGUCUCUCUUUUAAAGCAAGACACAGAA
rnacentral:snoRNA from 1 species